rnacentral:rRNA from 1 species
CGAGUGAAGCGGCAAGAGCUCAAAUUUGAAAGCUGGCUCCUUCGGGGCCCGCAUUGUAAUUUGCAGAGGAUGCUUCGGGAGCGGCCCCCAUCUAAGUGCCCUGGAACGGGCCGUCAUAGAGGGUGAGAAUCCCGUAUGGGAUGGGGUGUCCGCGCCCGUGUGAAGCUCCUUCGACGAGUCGAGUUGUUUGGGAAUGCAGCUCUAAAUGGGUGGUAAAUUUCAUCUAAAGCUAAAUAUUGGCCGGAGACCGAUAGCGCACAAGUAGAGUGAUCGAAAGAUGAAAAGCACUUUGAAAAGAGAGUUAAAAAGCACGUGAAAUUGUUGAAAGGGAAGCGUUUGCGACCAGACUCGCCCGUGGGGUUCAGCCGGCACUCGUGCCGGUGUACUUCCCCGCGGGCGGGCCAGCGUCGGUUUGGGCGGCCGGUCAAAGGCCCUCGGAAUGUAACGCCUCUCGGGGCGUCUUAUAGCCGAGGGUGCCAUGCGGCCUGCCCGGACCGAGGAACGCGCUUCGGCUCGGACGCUGGCAUAAUGGUCGUAAACGACCCGUCUUGAAACACGGACCAAGGAGUCUAACAUCUACGCGAGUGUUCGGGUGUCAAACCCGUGCGCGCAGUGAAAGCGAACGGAGGUGGGAACCCUUUGGGUGCACCAUCGACCGAUCCAGAAGUCUUCGGAUGGAUUUGAGUAAGAGCGUAGCUGUUGGGACCCGAAAGAUGGUGAACUAUGCCUGAAUAGGGCGAAGCCAGAGGAAACUCUGGUGGAGGCUCGCAGCGGUUCUGACGUGCAAAUCGAUCGUCAAAUUUGGGUAUAGGGGCGAAAGACUAAUCGAACCAUCUAGUAGCUGGUUCCUGCCGAA